UACGGGGGGGGCAAGCGUUGUUCGGAAUUACUGGGCGUAAAGGGCGCGUAGGCGGCCUACUAAGUCGGACGUGAAAUCCCUCGGCUCAACCGAGGAACUGCGUCCGAUACUGGUGGGCUUGAAUCCGGGAGAGGGAUGUGGAAUUCCAGGUGUAGCGGUGAAAUGCGUAGAUAUCUGGAGGAACACCGGUGGCGAAGGCGGCAUCCUGGACCGGGAUUGACGCUGAUUCCCGAAAGCCAGGGGAGCAAACGGG
rnacentral:rRNA from 1 species